rnacentral:rRNA from 1 species
CCUACGGGUGGCUGCAGUGGGGAAUAUUGCACAAUGGGCGCAAGCCUGAUGCAGCCAUGCCGCGUGUGUGAAGAAGGCCUUCGGGUUGUAAAGCACUUUCAGCGGGGAGGAAGGCGGUGAGGUUAAUAACCUCAUCGAUUGACGUUACCCGCAGAAGAAGCACCGGCUAACUCCGUGCCAGCAGCCGCGGUAAUACGGAGGGUGCAAGCGUUAAUCGGAAUUACUGGGCGUAAAGCGCACGCAGGCGGUCUGUCAAGUCGGAUGUGAAAUCCCCGGGCUCAACCUGGGAACUGCAUUCGAAACUGGCAGGCUAGAGUCUUGUAGAGGGGGGUAGACUUCCAGGUGUAGCGGUGAAAUGCGUAGAGAUCUGGAGGAAUACCGGUGGCGAAGGCGGCCCCCUGGACAAAGACUGACGCUCAGGUGCGAAAGCGUGGGGAGCAAACAGGAUUAGAUACCCGGGUAGUC